AAAGCAUCUUACCUGGGCUAAUGAAAAACAGACCUGGUCUGUUGCUCAGUGGUCCAAAGUCCUCUUUUCUGAUGAGAGCAAUUUUUUUUGGAAACCAAGGACCCAGAGUCUGGAGGAAGAAUGGAGAGACACACACUGCAAGAUGCUUGAAGUCCAGUGUAAAGUUUGUUGGUCCACUGUGCUUCAUUAAGUCCAGGACAUUUUGGAGCACUUCAUGCUUCCUUCCGCAGACUAGCUUUAUGGGGAUGCUGACUUCAUUUUCCAGCAGGACUUGGCACCUGCCCACACUGCCAAACUGUCAUCAAGCACAGCAAUGACCGUGGGAUUACUGUGCUUGAUUGGCCAGCAAACUCGCCUGACCUGAACCCCAUAGAGAAUCUAUGGGGCAUUGACAAGAGAAAGAUGAGAGACAUGAG